UGGUGGGUAGUUUGACUGGGGCGGUCUCCUCCUAAAGAGUAACGGAGGAGCACGAAGGUUGGCUAAUCCUGGUCGGACAUCAGGAGGUUAGUGCAAUGGCAUAAGCCAGCUUGACUGCGAGCGUGACGGCGCGAGCAGGUGCGAAAGCAGGUCAUAGUGAUCCGGUGGUUCUGAAUGGAAGGGCCAUCGCUCAACGGAUAAAAGGUACUCCGGGGAUAACAGGCUGAUACCGCCCAAGAGUUCAUAUCGACGGCGGUGUUUGGCACCUCGAUGUCGGCUCAUCACAUCCUGGGGCUGAAGUAGGUCCCAAGGGUAUGGCUGUUCGCCAUUUAAAGUGGUACGCGAGCUGGGUUUAGAACGUCGUGAGACAGUUCGGUCCCUAUCUGCCGUGGGCGCUGGAGAACUGAGGGGGGCUGCUCCUAGUACGAGAGGACCGGAGUGGACGCAUCACUGGUGUUCGGGUUGUCAUGCCAAUGGCACUGCCCGGUAGCUAAAUGCGGAAGAGAUAAGUGCUGAAAGCAUCUAAGCACGAAACUUGCCCCGAGAUGAGUUCUCCCUGAGACUUUAGGUCUCCUGAAGGAACGUUGAAGACGACGACGUUGAUAGGCCGGGUG
rnacentral:rRNA from 1 species